CAGCAGCCGCGGUAAUACGUAGGCAGCGAGCGUUGUUCGGAAUUACUGGGCGUAAAGAGUGUGUAGGCGGUGCUCUAAGUUCGGUGUGAAAUCUCCUGGCUUAACUGGGAGGGUGCGCCGGAAACUGGAGUGCUCGAGUGUGGGAGAGGAAAGCGGAAUUCCUGGUGUAGCGGUGAAAUGCGUAGAUAUCAGGAGGAACACCUGCGGUGUAGACGGCUUUCUGGACCAUUACUGACGCUGAGACACGAAAGCGUGGGUAGCAAACAGGAUUAGAUACCCGUGUAGUCCCUGUCUCUUAUAC
rnacentral:rRNA from 1 species